GACGGAGUCCGGGACUGUUGCUGAAUCUGCAACAACUUCUGUGUGUUGGAGCUCCGGGGCUGGUGUGGGGGAGGUGCUUGAGACCGUGAAUGCACACGGUUGUGGAUCUUUCACACAAUGAGGCUAUGGUCCUUCUGGUGCAGUGUCCUGGGCACAGUGGAUUACACAACAAAGAGUGGAAUUCUGGGGUCCUGUGUUAUGCCUAUCCAAGCCUUUCUGAGGUUUGACAUCUUCACAAAUCCAACUAGAAUGACCUGGGACGGCUGGAUUCCAU